GGGAACCAAGGAAAGUUUGGUCAAGAGGGAAUCCCUGAGCUGAACUUUGAAGGAAAGAUUCAAAGAGAGAUGGGGGGAUUCAUUCCCAAUGGCUCGAGCCAAGAGAUGGAAUAUGAAGUUUCAGAGUU
rnacentral:lncRNA from 1 species